AGAAAAACGAAGCAACUAGGUAUAGCUGCUAACUAAUACCUAAGGCAGUUAAAUUCUGUCUAUUUUCUG
rnacentral:tRNA from 1 species